GACGAACGCUGGCGGCGUGCUUAACACAUGCAAGUCGAACGAAGAGCGACGGAAGCUUGCUUCUAUCAAUCUUAGUGGCGAACGGGUGAGUAACGCGUAAUCAACCUGCCCUUCAGAGGGGGACAACAGUUGGAAACGACUGCUAAUACCGCAUACGAUCUAAUCUCGGCAUCGAGGAUGGAUGAAAGGUGGCCUCUACAUGUAAGCUAUCACUGAAGGAGGGGAUUGCGUCUGAUUAGCUAGUUGGAGGGGUAACGGCCCACCAAGGCGAUGAUCAGUAGCCGGUCUGAGAGGAUGAGCGGCCACAUUGGGACUGAGACACGGCCCAGACUCCUACGGGAGGCAGCAGUGGGGAAUCUUCCGCAAUGGACGAAAGUCUGACGGAGCAACGCCGCGUGAGUGAUGACGGCCUUCGGGUUGUAAAGCUCUGUUAAUCGGGACGAAAGGCCUUCUUGCGAAUAGGGAGAAGGAUUGACGGUACCGAAAGAGAAAGCCACGGCUAACUACGUG
rnacentral:rRNA from 1 species